GAAAUGCGAUAAGUAAUGCGAAUUGCAGAAUUUCCGUGAGUCAUCGAAUCUUUGAACGCACAUUGCGCCCAUUGGUAUUCCGAUGGGCAUGCCUGUUCGAGCGUCAUUAUCCUCCCUCAAACCUCGCGUUUGGUGUUGGGCCCCACGGGGAGCUUCUCGGGCUCCCCUGGCCCCAAAGACAAUGACGGCGUCCGUUGGGACCCCCGGUGCAACGAGCUUCUUCGGAGCACGCGCUGUGGGCUGUCCCCUUCGAGCUGGUCUCAACCACUUUUAUUUUACCAGGUUGACCUCGGAUCAGGUAGGAAUACCCGCUGAACUUAA
rnacentral:misc_RNA from 1 species